CACACACACCACACACACACACACACUCAUAGGUAGGCAUCAGCUCAUACAUCUUUGUAUACAAUAUGCAUACAUAUAUAUACACACACAUGUACGUAUGUAUAAAUACAGUAUCAACAGUGCUGUCAAUCAGAUUGAAGUCCCAGCGCCUUCACGUGAAGAAGCGAACAGAGAAACAAAGAGAGUGAGAAACUAGCAGACGAUUUGGUUCCAGCGCCAUCAGAAGAACAACGCAAUAAGGAAAAGCAAAGAGCUUCUGAUUCCACUUCACACCGAACCGAUUCUUGUUCUUCUUCUUGUUAUUAUUCAAUUUUCUUGCACUCUUUGACGAUGAAACUGCUGCUUACCAUUCUGCUUACCGUUCUGUGCCUGCAGGUGCAAGCACAAGAUCAAUGCUUCCACGAUUCAAGCGUUAACUGCGUCAGUGACUGCCUCAUGUGUCUGAUUCUGGGGAAGAAAUGUCCGGCGGACGCACCGAUCAAAAAUGGUACAAGGGCCUGCUGCGAAGACUGUAGAACUAGUGUGCAACAUCUGCCUGAAGGAAACCCUAAUAUUGUUGUCUAUGGCCUGGCAUCAUGUCGUAACGCCAGUGACAAUCUCGCUGCUGACUUCCAUAGAUGUCGAUCGGAUUUCUUCCGACUAGUUCGACCACAUUCUUACCAAGCGUUCUUUAAUGUGAACUGUAAUGUGUAACUGAUAUUUAUACCUUGUGAGGUGGCGAGAUGGCAGAGUUGUUAAUAUGCGGGAACAAAAUGCUGAACUUUUAACCCUUCGUCCUAUCAAGGGUGGAUAAAACAAGUACUAGUUGUGUACUGGGGGUUGUUGUAACCAGCUAACUAACUCCCUUCCAACGAAAUUCAGGCCUUGUGCCUAUAACAGAAAGACUAUUUAUGUGUGUGUGUCUGUGUGUGUGUGUGUGUGUUUGUGCAUAUAUUUUGUAUAUGUUUGGUUGCGUAUGUGUCCAUUUUGAUAUCAAUUUUUGUUUUG